rnacentral:lncRNA from 1 species
UCUUCAUCUUCUCUUCUCUGAUACAGCAACAAGGUCGAUUAGGGUUUUUGAUCAGCCGCUCUCCCCUCGGUUCCUUUUCUACCUUUGUUCAAUCUAGAAUUUUGAUAAUUGUCUCUCGCUCUUAUGAUCGUAUCCACCUACAACUUGAAAAUCAAUCCGAUUGUAUGGUAUCAACAUUACUUCGAACCCUAAUUCGCAUCACUGAAAGAUCUUCAAUAACAAGAUGUCUUUUGAACCCACUUGCUCACAUAAAUCUUUAGUAUUACGUGUGCAUUUGAUGAAUCUUGGAAGACUUGGGAGCUCGGGGUGGAAUUAUUUCCGACGUUGGACUUCUUUGAGACACAAAUGUCAUCCACACCAAGGCGUGGUAAAAGCGAAAAGGAAGAAAGAUCGGUAAGGCUCAUGAUCAGAUAACAAAUCAACCGCGACAACGAAGGCUGCAUCCGAAUUUUUCCCCACAACUUCAGCACGUCAUAAAAGAGGUCAUAUCGCAGUGUGGUGACGUCGAAGUGAGCAACUGUAGUAGAGUCGGUGGUCUCAGAUGUUGGCGAGACAGGGGUUUAGGUCUGAAUUGCACUGAUGGUUGCUAAGGUGUGGAUGAUGCCGACGACUAGGGUUGUUGUCGAGUGUAGAUGGUGGUAGAUUGGAAUUUAGGCUUUUGCGCUAACUCUCCAUUGGAGUAGUCGAGAAUCGUCAUCAAUCAACAAACACCAGGUGAAAGCCAUUAAGCGGCUAUGAUGGGAUUUCUUGCUUUUUUUUUAUAAGAAAGGCGAUUCUAACCUUUGAAUGAUUACCUUUGGAUGGUGCGUUCAAUGGUCAUGUACUUGACUAUUGUUUUGCAAGGCUACCAUGGUUGUUGGGCUGGUAAUGUUGUUAGAUUUGUGUUGAUAUGGUUACCUAUGAGUUUUACAACUUCCUUCCUUUCGCCUUUUCAGUUUUUUUAUACAUCUUAUAUACAUCUUAUAUGCUGGUCUUUCUUUGAAGGAUUUUGCACAUGAGCAUUUUUAUGUUUCUUGAGGAAUCGUCCUAUCUAGCCAUGAUGGAUUAUGUUUGAUAUCAAUGUCUAUGAUGAUUUGUAUGAGUUCAAAGAAACAUGAAUUUUUAUGUCUAUUGGUGCGACAACUAAGGUAUUUUUUUGUUUAGAAGGCAAUCUCUUAGUAUGCAGCCAUAGAGCAUAAUCUUUAUUUCUUAAAAUCUUCGCAUUUCUGAGCCUAUGAUGUUACGUUUUUUAAGGUUAUUGACGCUUAUAUUUUUUCCAUCCACGGUAGUUGUUCAUGUUUGUAGGAUAUGGUGAUGGGUUUGAGGUUAAAUGCGAAUGAAUUUACUUUUACCAUGAUUGUGUGUCUGUGGGCUAUGAUAAUUUGUUUUAGUUCAAAGUAAGCUGAGUUCGGUUUUAAUUUCUGGAAUAAUUUAUUUAUCAAUGUAACUUCAUGUGCGUAUGCUUCACAAAAUGAUGAAGAUAUGAUCUACAUAUAUAAUGCUUACUUACACAAGCUGGUAACAUCUUUUCUAUCUCAUCCACUUGCAAGAUACAAGGUUAGUCAUGUUCAUGUUCCUUGAUAAUUUAUUGACAUUUGAUACUACACCAUCUUUUGAGCUUUAGUGAGUAAGAUGAUUUAUGCUCUAUAUGAUGUUUUUUCACAUGGUUGGUAGGUGAAAGGAACAGAGGAGAUGGCCACACCUUCUCAGAGAAUUAGAUGAAAAUCUAUAUAGCCCUGAAAAUUGUUGGUACCUUUGUUCCUUUUAUGUUCAUCUUCUCCGCGCUUUGCGAGGCGUGUUUUCUGCCAGUACUGGAUCGGUUCGUUACUUUAUCGGUACGAUGCCGGCAUUCAGUAUAGCAACUGACCAUCAGUUGAAAACCAUAAAAAUGCAUGUCGAUACUGGGUUUUUAACAACUUUGGUUUGGAGAAACAGAAGGCUCUUCAUCUUGGAAUGCUGCCAUAGCCCAUGUCUUGACAGUGAUGGUUCGGGUCGGAUCAUGGAUAAACUUUGUCAACGACAUUCAACUACGGUCAAUCACAGUCAAGAGUGGUCCAUCUGAAGGUUGUUAUAGUUAAUAUCAUCCUAGGCACUCAUGUAUGGGCAGAAGACCUAGCAGUAUGUUGAGUGGUGGAGGUUGCGACUAAUUUUGUUGAGCCGAAUUUCGAAGGAGUCGUUUCUUUGUCUGUUUUGGAAUGUGGAACAUCGGACUAGCGGAGUCAAACUACAAGUCUAUGUAUCGAGAGUAGUGGCUACAUGGUGCACCCAAGAGAACAUGUAAAAGUAAUAUGCAUAUUUGGUAUGACUACAACAUCGUCAAUACCUCAGGGUGUUUUGGUUACUUUCACAUGUGCGAGACGCAAGCAAUUUGUUUCACUAGGGCAGGCUUCACUCUUCUAGGGGUCAAUAUUGAUGAAUAUCAAGUUAGAUAUACCAGGAGGUGAGAAUUACUUUACAAUGAAUCGGGUCAAGUUAUGCCGAUGUACCACAAGUUUUUUGUAUUUUGGAUAUAACAUAUGUUUUAGGUAUAACAAAAUCUGUAAUUAGAUAAUUUAUCUAUACUAUCUAAUGAUCAUCCGAUUUUAGAUGCUUCGGUACAGAUCCUCCACUUUUUUUA